CCUUGCGUGAUCAUAAUGAAGGGGCAUAUCAAUUAUUGUAACAAUGAUUGGUUGCUGAGAUGAUAGGCUUGAAGUUGAAGUUGACAGUUGCAUCAUUGAUAUCAUUGAUCUACUUAUUUCUUGCUGAACUCACGCUUCGAGGAUAAUUAGCAAAAAGCAUCCCUAUCGUUUGCACUCAUUGCGAAAAUGGUUCCUAUCGUUUCAAACUUGGCAUUUAUACCCUCACUUCAAACAUUUCUUGUGAAAUCGGUCUUUUUCAUUUUAUUCUUUCGCUAAAUAUGUGUAAUUUGGUGUAAAAUAUCUAUAUCAUUUGCUUUCAUUGAGCAAAUAAUCCCCAUUGUUUAAGUUUUGAUAUUUGGACACUUAAAUCGAC
rnacentral:lncRNA from 1 species